GAUUUGAGGGGCUCGGGUUGUAGCUGGUCUCUCGGGACAGGUGCUCGCCCUUGCUCUCUUACACCCACACACCCUGUGCACUCUUGCGUGGGUCGCGUCGACUUUGUUCGGCGCGCUCGCGACUUUAUACAAACCCCCCUGUAUGUUUUAGAAUGUCUCUGCGUACCUACGCAACCUAGUACAACUUUCAACAACGGAUCUCUUGGCUCUCGCAUCGAUGAAGAACGCAGCGAAAUGCGAUAAGUAAUGUGAAUUGCAGAAUCCAGUGAAUCAUCGAAUCUUUGAACGCAACUUGCACCCCUUGGUAUUCCGAGGGGUACACCUGUUUGAGUGUCGUGAAUUUCUCAACUCUACCUCCUUUUUCGAGGAGUUGUAGGGCUUGGACUUGGAGGCUUUGCGGGCGGUGUUCUCUCUGUCUGCUCCUCUUAAAUGCAUUAGUGACGUGCCCCGGGUGGCUUGGACGUGAUAAUUGUCUACGUUCGUGGUUGCUCGUCGUUGGUGGUUGCUUCUAACUGUCCCUUUGUUGGGACGAUUUUUGAAACUUGACCUCAAAUCAGGUGGGACUACCCGCUGAACUUAAGCAUAUCAAUAAGCGGAGGAAAAGAAACUAACAAGGAUUCCCCUAGUAACUGCGAGUGAAGCGGGAAAAGCUCAAAUUUAAAAUCUGGCGCCUUCGGGCGUCCGAGUUGUAGUUUAGAGAAGCGUUUUCCGUGCCGGACCGUGUACAAGUCUCCUGGAACGGAGCGUCGUAGAGGGUGAGAAUCCCGUCUUUGACACGGACUACCGGUGCUCUGUGAUGCGCUCUCAAAGAGUCGAGUUGUUUGGGAAUGCAGCUCAAAAUGGGUGGUGAAUUCCAUCUAAAGCUAAAUAUUGGCGAGAGACCGAUAGCGAACAAGUACCGUGAGGGAAAGAUGAAAAGGACUUUGGAAAGAGAGUUAAACAGUACGUGAAAUUGUUGAAAGGGAAACGCUUGAAGUCAGUCGCGUCCGCCGGGACUCAGCCUGGUUUUUACCUGGUGUACUUCCCGGUGAACGGGCCAGCAUCACUUUUGGUUGCCGGAAAAGAGCGGGAGAAAAGUGGCACCUUCGGGUGUGUUAUAGUCUCUCGUUGUAUACGGUGGUCGGGAGUGAGGAACUCAGCACGCCUUACGGUCGG
rnacentral:rRNA from 1 species